UACACAAAACGUUACUUUUCUCACACACAAUUGUAUCCUCCGCACAAAAGUCCAUGCUUCAUACACACAAAAAAGU